AUUGAACGCUGGCGGCAGGCUUAACACAUGCAAGUCGAGCGAGCGGCGGACGGGUGAGUAAUGUCUGGGAAACUGCCUGAUGGAGGGGGAUAACUACUGGAAACGGUAGCUAAUACCGCAUACCAUCAGAUGUGCCCAGAUGGGAUUAGCUAGUAGGUGGGGUAAUGGCUCACCUAGGCGACGAUCCCUAGCUGGUCUGAGAGGAUGACCAGCCACACGGGAACUGAGACAAGGUCCAGACUUCUACGGGAGGCAGCAGUGGGGAAUAUUGGACAAUGGGCGGAAGGCUGGUGGAGACAUGCCGCGUGUGUGAAGAAGGGCUUCGGGUUGUAAAGCACUUGAAGCGAGGGAGAGUUAAUGGCAGAAAAAGCACCGGCUAAACCCCUGCCAGCAGCCGCGGUAAUUC
rnacentral:rRNA from 1 species